rnacentral:tRNA from 1 species
AGACUCGUAUCUCAGGUGGUUAGAGCGUUGAACGAACUCAAACGAUGCCCUUGCUGCCAUGGGUUCGAAUCCCAUCGAGGCCG